AUUGAACGCUGGCGGCAGGCCUAACACAUGCAAGUCGAGCGAAUGAAGGGAGCUUGCUCCUGGAUUCAGCGGCGGACGGGUGAGUAAUGCCUAGGAAUCUGACUGGUAGUGGGGGAUAACGUCCGGAAACGGGCGCUAAUACCGCAUACGUCCUGAGGGAGAAAGUGGUGGAUCUUCGGACCUCACGCUAUCAGAUGAGACUAGGUCGGAUUAGCUAGUUGGUGGGGUAAAGGCCUACCAAGGCGACGAUCCGUAACUGGUCUGAGAGGAUGAUCAGUCACACUGGAACUGAGACACGGUCCAGACUCCUACGGGAGGCAGCAGUGGGGAAUAUUGGACAAAGGGCGAAAGCCUGAUCCAGCCAUGCCGCGUGUGUGAAGAAGGUCUUCGGAUUGUAAAGCACUUUAAGUUGGGAGGAAGGACAGUAAGUUAAUACCUUGCUGUUUUGACGUUACCAACAGAAUAAGCACCGGCUAACUUCGUG
rnacentral:rRNA from 1 species